rnacentral:rRNA from 1 species
AGAGUUUGAUCCUGGCUCAGGACGAAUGCUGGCGGCGUGCCUAACACAUGCAAGUCGAACGAAGCUCGAAGCUCUGAGAUUUCGGUCAAGGAGCCUAGAUGACUUAGUGGCGAACGGGUGAGUAAUGCGUGAGCAACCUGCCUUUCAGAGGGGGACAAUAGCUGGAAACGGCUGCUAAUACCGCAUAACACAUCGGGGUGGCAUCACCCUGGUGUCAAAGGAGCAAUCCGCUGAGAGAUGGGCUCACGUCUGAUUAGCUGGUUGGUGAGGUAACGGCUCACCAAGGCGACGAUCAGUAGCCGGUCUGAGAGGAUGAACGGCCACAUUGGGACUGAGAUACGGCCCAGACUCCUACGGGAGGCAGCAGUGGGGAAUAUUGGGCAAUGGGCGAAAGCCUGACCCAGCAACGCCGCGUGAAGGAAGAAGGCUUUCGGGUUGUAAACUUCUUUUAUCAGGGACGAAGGAUGUGACGGUACCUGAUGAAUAAGCCACGGCUAACUACGUGCCAGCAGCCGCGGUAAUACGUAGGUGGCAAGCGUUGUCCGGAUUUACUGGGUGUAAAGGGCGCGUAGGCGGAGAGACAAGUCAGAUGUGAAAUCUAUGGGCUUAACCCAUAAACAGCAUUUGAAACUAUCUCCCUUGAGUGAUGGAGAGGCAGGCGGAAUUCCUAGUGUAGCGGUGAAAUGCGUAGAUAUUAGGAGGAACACCAGUGGCGAAGGCGGCUUGCUGGACAUUAACUGACGCUGAGGCGCGAAAGCGUGGGGAGCAAACAAAAGUAGAUACCCUGGUAGUCCACGCCGUA